GCGCCACUGCACUCCAGCCUGGGCAACAGCGUGAGACUCCGUCUCAAAAAAAAAAAAAAACUGAACGAGGAGGAGAAAAAACCCUGAGGUGACACCAAGGCUCAGUCAGGGUCACCAGGGACGCAGCUGGCUUCAGAGCCUGCAGGCCACAGACUCUCUUGGGGCCAGCAACGGCCCUGGAGGGGAAGAAGCCGCACGAGGAGGGCCAGCUGCGGGGAGCUGUGGCCACGGCUGGGGAGUGCAGGCAGCAAAGGGGCCCCCAGGGAGGGCGUGGGCAGCUUUCCGGGGGACACGCCCACCACCGUGCGAGGCCACAUUUGCAGGAGUGAGUUUGCACUCAGCGGUGUAAGGGAGUGCAAACGCGGACUCCAGCAAACACACUCAUGGUGCAGACACAGCUGGAGGUUGGCAGCGGGUCCAGAGCAGGGAUGCCUCCCACAAAGACGCCGUCCUCCACGAUGCCCCCGAGCAAUCCAUGCCCCGCAGUGAACCCUGAGGGAUGCACCCCAACAGCACACGUGCCCCAGAGCAGAGCACGGGGGGAAAGCUGGAGCUGGGGAUGGAGAGAGGCAGACAGACACCACCCUGCACCCAGCACCCCCAACAACUGACCACAGCCCACCGCCACCCUUCAGAGCACCGAGAACCCGGAUGGCGUGAAGACGUCAGACACCAAAACCGUGGUAACGGCGCCUUUUAAAAACCCGGACAAAGCACAUCAGUGUUUAUGUUCCACGGUUGCUCGGUUACUCGGGCAGCCUGCAAGGCCUGCCAGCAGGGAGCAGUGGGUGUGGUGGGUGAGGAAGGGACAGGACAGAGUGGCUACUUUGUAUCACGUCUUUCCAAAUACCAUCAUCAAAAAGCCCAACUAGAACCCACAACUCCCUCCUCUCCUGGCUACGUGCAAACGCAGCCUCAGCCCAGGCGGGCAUGUGGCGUGGAAAGCUGCCCGCGACGACCACACGGAGGCCCCGGGACCUGCGGCUUUUCCGUGGUUUCCUUCUGAGCUUGUGACAAUUCUGCCCAUCGUGGGUAGGUGGCAGCAAUGCACAGGCCAACAGCGCCCUGCGGCCAACAGCAGCCAGCACCCAGCAGAACCCCUGAGGGGCGGUGACUCUGCAGCCUCGGGGCCAUCAACGCAGCUGCCCUGACCACACAUUCAAGAAGAGCAGAUGACAGAGCAGCACCUCCCCGUGGGCCCGCCUCACAGAGCAGGGGGGUGAAGGAAAUGCAGCCAGGAGGGCGUCACCAGCCACGGGGACUCGGAACACAUUCGACUGUCGCCGCUGGCCACAGGGACUGGGAACACCUUUAACUCUGUCGCCACUGGCCACAGGGACUGGGAACACCUUUAACUCUGUCUCCGCUGGCCACAGGGACUGGGAACGCCUUCAACUGCGUGGGGGGCCACGGGGACUGGGAACGCCUUCAACUGCGUGGGGGGCCACGGGGACUGGGAACGCCUUCAACUGCGUCGGGGGCCACGGGGACUGGGAACGCCUUCAACUGCGUCGGGGGCCACGGGGACUGGGAACGCCUUCAACUCUGUCACCGGGGGCCACGGGGACUGGGAACGCCUUCAACUCCGUCGCCGGCCAAAGGGAUUCGGAACCCUUUAACUCCCCAACUCAUGGUGGGCAGGGGCUCCUGUGCAGACUUACUGCUCAGACACCAAGGGCGACCCUAAAAGCACACCCCACAGCACACAGGGAGCACAUGGAGGUCGCGUGGAGGCCGCGUGGGGGCCGCGUGGGGACCGCGUGGAGGCUGCGUGAAGGUCGUGGACUGCCUCCAACUGCCAUCUCCAGGGCAUGAUCCGUGUUGUGGGUGGGAACUGGGGGACACUGAACCCCUCUGAGAGCACCCGGCACCCCACCCCACCCCAUCCCAAGCCAAGCUCCUAGAUCCAGAAAUGGCUUUUUACAGGUCACCAGCUGUCCACGAUACGUGGGGGAUGGUUUCGACCCCACUAAGGAGGCAACUCCGGGCACCCAUGGGUAUGUCGGAAAGGUGACAGCCCUGCACCACGUGCUCUGGAUGCAUCUGAGGGACAGUGACCACGUCUACACGCAAAACAUGACACGCCGGUCUUAGCCAGCAGGGACCACCUGCAGAACCGGCAGUCCCAAGCCUCCGACGUCAGCUGACAGAAACUGGCUCAGGUUUCCAGGAUUGACUUUCCCGUGACAUCCAUCAAACCCACGAGAACACUGAGCUGACACCAGCAGAAAUGCCAGCUGGCUGCUCUCAGCACAGAAGCCCCGCCGGCCUGGCUGGGGUAGAAGGUAGACGGCUGCAGGCCUCGGGCAGGUCCCCAUCAGGUCAGGGCUGGGAGGUGUGGACAGAAAGCACAAGAGGCGGGUACAGCCCUGACAUCCGGCCCUGGGCUCCCCAAACCCAGCCUGCUCUCCUCUGCUCGGACCACACAGACCUCAGCAAAAGUCUGCACACAACAGCAAUUUUUCUAAGCUUCCUCACCAGCUGUGCCUCCACACUCACACUCACACUCACACUCACAGUCUCACAGCGGGGGGCUAAGGGUGGCGUGGGCUGGGCCGUUCGCAACGGCAGGGCCCUGGGAGCUGUGUCGGGGGGAUCCGGCUCCCUGGACCCUAGAGGUUGGCUGCUGCCAUUGGGAAUGUCUAGGGAAAUGCAAUCAGGCUUUCACUUUAAUACUCUGUGGAUCUAAAAUGUGUUCUACGCUUCCCUCCUCACACACCAGAAAGAAUCAGCAAAGAGAAAUGAGGCACUGCCCGACUGUGCUAACCCCCGGCAGGUAUCAGAAGCUUGGGAAUCGGGCGCAGACGUCCGCCUGGACUCGGGCGUGUAAGGAGCUUCGCCUCUGCUCAGCUUUCCUCUUGCGCCCACCUGAGCUUCCUGUGCUCGCCCAAAACAGCUCUGGGUCCCUGCACUGCUCAGUCCACCAGGGCAGGCCCGGGGCUGCUCUGUCCACCAUGGGGCCGUGCUUGGAGGGAUCUGCAAUGACCACUGGGUCCACAGUCUCUCUCUUAUAGGCACCGCUGGGCAAACCAGGCACCCCACAGCUGCCGCCUCCACAGAAGAGACACACCCAGCCCUGCACCCUGGCAGGCCAACGGGCCGCCCCGCACCCAGGAGCACGCCUCCCUCAUCGAGGGAGCAGCCCUUUGCUGCAGCCUUCAGCCUUCAGACCUACCUGCUUGUCUCAUGAGCUCUCCUCCCAGACCCCUGAAAAGGAAUGAAAACAUCAGAAUUAGAAGAACCUCCUGAUGUACAAAACACCAUGAAAGAUGCUUGCCAGUGUAACCUCGGGCUCCAAAAAGCACUACAAUGAGAACUAGUUGAAUGUGUUACUGAGCAUGAGUGACCUUUCAUGAAAAAAGUAAAAAACAUGGUACAGCCAUCUUCCGGAGGCCUCCCA